UAGGGAAUCUUCGGCAAUGGGGGGAACCCUGACCGAGCAACGCCGCGUGAGUGAAGAAGGUUUUCGGAUCGUAAAGCUCUGUUGUUAAGGAAGAACGAGUGUGAGAAUGGAAAGUUCAUACUGUGACGGUACUUAACCAGAAAGGGACGGCUAACUACGUGCCAGCAGCCGCGGUAAUACGUAGGUCCCGAGCGUUGUCCGGAUUUAUUGGGCGUAAAGCGAGCGCAGGCGGUUAGAUAAGUCUGAAGUUAAAGGCAGUGGCUCAACCAUUGUAGGCUUUGGAAACUGUUUAACUUGAGUGCAGAAGGGGAGAGUGGAAUUCCAUGUGUAGCGGUGAAAUGCGUAGAUAUAUGGAGGAACACCGGUGGCGAAAGCGGCUCUCUGGUCUGUAACUGACGCUGAGGCUCGACAGCGUGGGGAGCGAACAGG
rnacentral:rRNA from 1 species